CUGGGACAAAACCAAUACAGAUGCGGGAGUAGGCCUGCAUCUGAAAAGAAGGGAGGUAGUGGAUGUCCUGAAUCAGGGGCUGGAGGCCGUGACGGGUUGGAUCUCAGCUAAUAGACUGGGACUGAAUCCAGACAAGACGAAGGUAACCAUGAGACAAAAAGGAGAAGCUGCGAAAUUCCAUCUAGGCUGAACUGUGAAUGGAAUGUCCUAUAAUACAAACAGAAGCACCCCAAGGGCACUUCUUUUUUUGGUAUGUUGUAGAGAAUAGCUCUUUCAGUUGGACGAAUCACAAAGGUUGAAAUUUUGAAACUCUUUCCAUCUCUCAUCCUCUUACUGAAUAGAAUUCUUAGUCUCUGUCAUUGUGAUUCCUC